UGGAGAAUAGUGUAGUGGUAUGCACAGUGGCCUUUGACUCCACUAGAGGUAGGUUCGAUUCCUCCUUCUCCUG
rnacentral:tRNA from 2 species